GGGCGGGAGGUGAGCGCCGAGCGGAGAGAGAGGGCGGCCAUGGAGGGGUCCGGUGCCCCCGGCGCCCCUGCCACCCGCUGGAAACGCCACAUCGUGCGGCAGCUUCGACAGCGGGACCGCACGCAGAAGGCACUUUUCCUGGAGCUGGUGCCGGCCUAUAACCGUCUUCUAGAGAAGGCUGAGCUGCUGGCCCGGUUCUCAGAGAAGCUACAGCCAGAGCCAAACGAUGUCACUCCUGCUAUCCACCAGGGCCCCUGGGAGGAGGAGUCGGGGCAUGACUCAGACCAAGUCCCAUCACCAGCCACUCUGAGGAAGUGGGAAGAGGAGGAGGAGGGGCUCCGGCUGGUCUGUGGAGAGAUGGCCUACCGCGUGGUGGAGAAGAGCGCAGCGCUGGGCGCCCUGGAGGCGGAGGUGGAGCAGCGGCGAGGCAGGCUGGCGGCGCUGGAAGCCCGCGUGGAGCAGCUGCAGGAGGAGCGGGCGCAGCAGGCCCAGCGCGUGCACACCCGGCGGGCGCGGAACGCGGCGCUGCGGGCGGCCUACGAGGCGCUGCGCGCGCACGCCGGGCUCCAGGAGGCGGCACUGCGCAGGCUCGAGGAAGAGGCGCGUGACCUGCUGGAGCUGCUCGUGCAGCGCAAGGCGCGCGCCGCCGCCGAGCGCAACCUGCGCAACGAGCGCCACGAGAGGGCCAAGCAGGCGCGGGUGUCCCAGGAGCUGAAGAAGGCUGCCAAGCGGACCGUGAGCAUCAGCGAGAGACCAGACAUCCUAGGCGAUGGGAUCAAGGAGCAGGCCCAGACUCUGGCCCUGGCUGCUGUUGAGCCGGUGUCCCUGGAGAGUGAGGCUGGAGAGAAAUGGAAGAGGCCCUUCAGGUCUGCCUCCGCCACCUCCCUGACGCUGUCCCACUGUGUGGAUGUGGUGAAGGGGCUUCUGGAUUUCAAGAAGAGGAGAGGCCACUCAGUUGGGGGAGCCCCUGAGCAGCGAUACCAGUGCAUCCCUGUGUGCGUGGCUGCCCGGCUUCCUACCUGGGCUCAGGAUGUGCUGGAUACCCACCUCUCCGAGGUCAAUGCUGUUUGUUUUGGCCCCAACAGCAGCUUCCUGGCGACCGGAGGAGCUGACCGCCUCAUCCACCUCUGGAAUGUUGUGGGAGGUCGCCUGGAGGCCAACCAGACCCUCGAAGGAGCUGGUGGCAGCAUCACGAGUGUGGACUUUGACCCCUCGGGCUCCCAGGUAUUGGCAGCUACUUAUAAUCAGGCUGCCCAGCUCUGGAAGGUUGGGGAGGCACAGUCCAAGGAGACACUGUCUGGACACACGGACAAGGUGACAGCUGCCAAGUUCAAGCUAACGAGGCACCAGGCGGUAACUGGGAGCCGAGACCGGACCGUGAAGGAGUGGGACCUCGGCCGCGCCUACUGCUCCAGGACCAUCAAUGUCCUUUCCUACUGUAAUGACGUGGUGUGUGGGGACCAUGUCAUCAUUAGUGGCCACAAUGACCAGAAGAUCCGGUUCUGGGACAGCAGGGGGCCCCGCUGCAUCCAGGUCAUCCCUGUGCAGGGCCGGGUCACCUCCCUGAGCCUCAGCCAUGACCAGCUGCAUCUGCUCAGCUGUUCCCGUGACAACACACUCAAGGUCAUCGACCUGCGUGUCAGCAAUAUCCGCCAGGUGUUCAGGAUAAAGAACCAAGUCCUUGACAAAGCACUCAACGCACAUCUGCUGAAUGAACAUGGCCAAAGGAAGUGGGUUGUCCAAGUAACUGUAUCAAACGCUGGUAAGGGGUCAAGGAAAUCAAGUUGCAAAGUAUGCACUGAUCAGCAUGCAAAAGUCAUGACCUUGCGAGAGCUGUUACACAAAGAAAGAGCAGAGUGAGGGGUGAACAUGUGGAUUUCUGAAUGAAAAUGUAUUCAGACAAGUGCGCAAGAGCCCCCUUACCGUUGGCUGAAGGAGAGCGGGGGAAGUACUGGGAGCUCCUCUUAUCCGGGCUGGGAAGUCAAACCAAUGGCCUAGACCAAGACGGUGAAAAGUGAAUGGAUUCAGGACGUGUUUUGGAGGUGGACUCAAUAGGACCGGCUGAUGGACUGGAUGAGGGGGCUGAGAGAAAGAAAGGAAUUGGGGAAUUAAAACUCAGUUAACUUUGUAUGAGUACAAAGUUAAUGUGAAAGCAGGGCAGUGGUGAGAGAGAUUAAGAACUAUUACACCACAUCAGGUUUGGAAAUUCUGGCAUCUAUUUAUCCAGGUCCCUGCUUAACAUAGAAACAAGAGAUGGUUAUAUUCAUAUUAGGAAAGGUAAAGUGUUCAAAAACUGCUCUGUAAAACGAUUUUCUUGUAAUGUAAGUUUUGAGGAUCAUCCUAGUGGAGGGUCUUAUGCGAAGCAGGCAAUUGAUAAAAAGGGUACAAGUUCUAUUUACUGAAAAUUUACUGGAUGCCAGGCACUGUAAGUGCUUUGCUAUAAAGUGUUAUCUCAUUUAAUCUUCAAACUAGCUCUAUAAUGUUAUCCCCAUAAUAUAAAUAAGAAAACUGAGGCUCACAGAGACUCAGGGAUUAGUGUGGUCGUAUAGGUCAUAAGUGGCAGAGACAGGAUGUUAACCCAGACAGUCUGAUUCUGACAUCAGAGCCUAGACUCUUCACCAUUACGUUAUGUUGCCUCUAAUGCUAACUAGACGCCAAUUUUAUGUUAAGCACAAUCUGAGAGGCUGAGUUGAUACAGUUAUGUGUAUCUUCAGAGUUGUCACAAUUUAGUAUGAGCAACAUGUUAGAGAAAUACAAACCUUGUAGGAAUAAACAACUUUGCAGGUAAGUGGAUAAUUUCUUAAGGUGCCAGAAGGGCUGGAACUGCUGUCAUCAAAAACAUCCAUGUUGUCUUCAAACUCUUCUCCUUCUUCUCUUUCAGGAUCUGCAUUAAGCUAGGAAAAAUUAGAAGCCAUUGACUAGCUUGCUUACUUCAAGAAAAUGGCUGAAAGCAGGAAAAACACACUUAAAACCUGAUUGUUUCAAAAUAUUAACUUACUUAUUCAACGGCACUUGCAUUUUUCAUGUUAUAAAAGGACUGAGAUAUUUUUUCUUUU